ensembl:lncRNA
CUAGGCUAGACUGGGUCUCGGUACUGAGGAUAGAACUGGGUCUCUGGUACUGAGGUCGAACUGGGUCUCUGGUACUGAGGAUAGAACUGGGUCUCUGGUACUGAGGAUAGAACUCGGGGUCUCUGGUACUGAGGCUAGAACUGGGUCUCUGUUACUGAGGCUAGAACUGGGUCUCUGGUACUGAGGAUAGAACUGGGUCUCUGGUACUGAGGAUAGAACUGGGUCUCUGGUACUGAGACUAGAACUGGGUCUCUGGUACUGAGGCUAGAACUGGGUCUCUGGUACUG